AGGACGAACGCUGGCGGCGUGCCUAACACAUGCAAGUCGAACGGAGCUCAGUUGGUGGCAACACCAACGAAAGUUCAGUGGCGAACGGGUGCGGAACACGUGAGCAACCUGCCUCGAAGACCGGGAUAACAGAGGGAAACCGCUGCUAAUACCGGAUACCCCCACGAGCCCGCAUGGGUUUGUGAGGAAAGGAAUCCGCUUCGAGAGGGGCUCGCGGCCUAUCAGCUUGUUGGUGGGGUAAUGGCCCACCAAGGCUACGACGGGUAGCUGGUCUGAGAGGACGAUCAGCCACACUGGGACUGAGACACGGCCCAGACUCCUACGGGAGGCAGCAGUGGGGAAUCUUGCGCAAUGGGCGAAAGCCUGACGCAGCAACGCCGCGUGGGGAUGAAUGCCUUCGGGUUGUAACCCUUUCAGUGGGAACGAACUGACGGUACCCACAGAAGAAGCCCGGCCAACUACGUGCCAGCAGCCGCGGUAA
rnacentral:rRNA from 1 species